CCUGGCUCAGAACGAACGCUGGCGGCAGGCUUAACACAUGCAAGUCGAGCGCCCCGCAAGGGGAGCGGCAGACGGGUGAGUAACGCGUGGGAAUCUACCCUUGACUACGGAAUAACGCAGGGAAACUUGUGCUAAUACCGUAUGUGUCCUUCGGGAGAAAGAUUUAUCGGUCAAGGAUGAGCCCGCGUUGGAUUAGCUAGUUGGUGGGGUAAAGGCCUACCAAGGCGACGAUCCAUAGCUGGUCUGAGAGGAUGAUCAGCCACAUUGGGACUGAGACACGGCCCAAACUCCUACGGGAGGCAGCAGUGGGGAAUAUUGGACAAUGGGCGCAAGCCUGAUCCAGCCAUGCCGCGUGAGUGAUGAAGGCCCUAGGGUUGUAAAGCUCUUUCACCGGAGAAGAUAAUGACG
rnacentral:rRNA from 2 species